CGUACACAGCUGGUUGGGAGAGGUCAAGGCCUGAACAAUAGCUUCAGGAGAGAACACUCUUCCCUGGCGUGUUACAGCUCGAUAAAACAGGCACUCUUCAGAGGAUCUUUGGUGA
ensembl:miRNA predicted gene, 27410